GUUGAAUGAAAAGUUCGACCAGUUGCUGCCAAUGACUCCUUCGCAAAUUCAAGCCUUCUAGAGCGCCUCGGUGAUUGUUUUGUUCAAAGCCAUCAGCCGUCGCUGCAGGUCUUUUCUCUUAUAUUCAUCUCCAAUUUGCCCAUUAAGAGAAGAUCAAACAAGCAAGGAACCACUCACCCUGCGGUGGACGCGCUAGUUCGCGCCCUGCCCUCUCAUUCGGGAGGGAAGGGGUUCGAAACUCUGUGCUCCCAUUGUGUGACUAAAGUGGAGUGUUGUGGGAGGUGGGCCCCCGCACUAGUGCUUUCCCUGGUUUACGCCACUGGCUGCCGGCUGUAUGGUGGUUCUAGGAUGAAAAAAAGAAGAAAAAAAAAGCAAGGAACCAUUGGAGUCUAUCCAAGAAUAGAACUGCCCAUAUAGUUCUUUUUUUCUUGAACAUUUGUAGUCUACUUAAGUAUAGCAUUUGCCACUGUCCCAUCACUGUAGUCUCUGAUAGACUUAUUAGACGACUUGGAUUCUCAAAUUACUACUUUCAACUGGAUUAUGUUGUUGUGCAAAUCUUAGCCACAAUGGCUAAUUUGCUAACCCAACAAACUUCAUAAGAUGUUCAUGGUUGUUAUAACACCAACGACUUGAUA